rnacentral:lncRNA from 1 species
AACUCUUCUCAAUACUCGGUAACAAAGGAAUAUCUGUAUAAGACCACUAGGGAGGAGAGAUGGUUAAUACAAAGGGAAAGGUAAGCGGGUCUCAUACUAUGCAUGUCAUACAUACAUGUAUGUCAGAGCCCGGCGCUGUCAAUGUCUCAACCACCACAAAGAAAACCAAUGGUCAACGGGGAUGGUGGAGUUUAGCAUCCCCCGGCCCUAAAGUCUGGCAGUGCCCCAGACUUUCCCUGUCAGCGCCCCUUUCCAAAGGAACGGAUUUCCAAAAGGAUUUCCCUCUUCCCUCCCCACCCUUCGAGUAAAUAAUGCCAGCAGCGCAAAGUGCACAUCCCGAGGGACCCGAGACACCCGGGCCGAACGCAAAUAACCCCCAAAAUAGAGCCCUUUCUGGGAAAGCGCUGCUUCCAGAACCUUCUCAACACCACUCCUGCUUCCCCUCGGGGCUUUUACUUUAAACCAGCGAAGAUGGAAAGGAAGGGCUGAAAGGAACAGGCAGGGCCCCUCCCUAGAGUCCGACGCCAGCUGCCCCAGGUGCGCCAGGUGCGCCCCUGGAGGCGUGGGGGCAGGGGUAGGUGGGCUCUGGAGGGCCCUGCACCGCUCUGUGGGCCCAACUGGGGCGGAGGCGCCUCUGGGUGGGGGUGGGUGGGCAAUGGGUGGGUCCCUUACGGUCUCCCUCAGCUUCCUCUCGUAGUCUAGCUCGCGCUGCAGGCUGCCCGCGCGCUCCUCCGCGGCGUCCGCCUGCUCCUGCAGGCUUCGGAUUUUCCUCCGCACCGCCUCCAGCGAGCUGCUCCCGGCCAUCGCGCGGGGCGGCGGCGGGCUGGCCGGCGGACUGCGGUGAGAGACCGGCUGCUGCGCUCCGGCCGCCGCUGCCGCAGCCGCACUCCUGAGCGCCCGGCCGCCCCGCCCAGGCCGCGCCGCGCAACGGCGGCGCCCCCAGCGGCCCAGGACCAGCCCGGAAGUGGCGGUCUCCCGGGCGGCGCAGGCGAACCGCAGGCGGGUGCGCGAGCGCCGGGGGCGGGCACAGAGGGCGGGGCGCGCGCCGCGGACCCCGGGAAUAUGCAACCCGCGUGAGACACUGCGCAUGCUCGCGGAACCGGGGCUGUCGGAGGUGGUGGACUCGCUUUGGGACACCUGGAGAGAUGGGCCCGGCCGGGAGGGAGGCCAGCACGCCAGGGAUUUUACUGCGAUUCCUAGCGCCCCUCCUUGGCUCCGUGGUGACCCCGCGUAACGGACCUGGUUGCUAAGGGCGGUGGUGCCGCCUACUGGCGGCGGGAGUUCGCACUCGGGAGUUCAGAAUUCCCAAGCCCAAGAGAGAAGCUGAGUGGAGGAGUUUGGGGCCUGAGUGUGUCCCCAGGACCUUUCCUCGUUAUAAAGAACUACAGCACACAAGAUCCUAAUCACAACAACCUUCCUCUUUCACUAAACUCACGAAGUGAAAACCACUAACAUAUUGCAUUAACCGUGAUUAAACCUAACAUAUUGAUUAAACCUUUCUAAAUGCAGCGUUCCUAGGUAGGUUAGAAUCCGGCUCCUAGAAUCUCUCCUGGCUGUUGACUUUGGCCAAGUAACUUGACUCUUCUGGGCUUCAUCUAUAAAAGUGGAAUUAAUAGCAGUACUUCCCUCAUGGGGCUGUGGUGAGGAUUAUGAAAUAAAGUGCCUAGCACAAUACAUUGUACAUAGUUAACUCAAAUGAUAGCUUUAGUGAAUAAAUAUGCAGGCACUGCCUUAAGAGUCAGGUGGGGGUCCAUCACGGGCUGUGUUCUCAGGGCCACGAACCUCUUUGGGGCUCACUUCCCUUUCCAUAAAAACAAUCAUCUCACGGGUGCCUUAUAACUUACAAGCUUCUCUGGUUUUAGAUCAGCCUCAGAGAUCUUCUGGAAUCUGACCAAUUCUGGGCUGGACUGAGAUGCCUUUAAAAGGCACAGCCAUGAAGGCUAUAGAACACUAUGAGAGCCUUUGGCUACAGCUGGAUGAAAACCCAAUCUCUGGGAACCGUCCUCUGCCAAUUCUCCCAUUUGGGCUGCGUUUUUAAAUGCCUUCCAAAUCUCAUGGCUUUCUUCCUCACCUUUCUCACAGGAGGCCCUUCAAGUCAAUUCCUGAUUUAUUUAAGUGUGGGAAUAAUGAAGAACAAAAACAUACUUGACAACCCCGUCCUCCUUUUCCAAAGCCCUAACAAGGAACCUCCUUUGCUUUCCUGAUUCAUUUUCUAUGGACUUUGUCACAGUCUCCGCUGAGACUCUCACAAACCUCAGCAUGUGCCCUCACGCCCUGUAGGUGGAGCCUCUCGCUUUGUUUCCACACAGUUCAUCUGGUCAGGCGGGAGGUUACAACUCCUCCCCCAGAGGAGUCCAGACAGUGGGCUCCAACUUUGAAGGUGGAGGAAGGGGGCGCCAAGGAAACUACUGGACACUUGCAAGUGCUCUAAAGCAGCCAACUAAUGACUUAAUGUCCUGCUUUUCAAACACCUGGGAAAGACAGUUUUAGGUGAGUUCAUUUUAAUGCUGAUGUCAUUAUACAAGAGUUUAGAACAGUUCUCAACCUUGGGUGCACAUUUAAAAAAUACAAAUGCGUGGGUUCCACUCCCAGAGAUUCUGAUUUAAUUGGCCUGGGGUGCAGUCUGAAUUUGGGCUUUUAAAACCUCCCUAGGAGAUUGUUUACAUAAGGUUGAGAAUCACUGAUUUAGGAAGCAAAGACCUGCAAGGAAUAAAAACUCACAUACUGCAAAUAUCAGAUACAUCACAAUACUGGCGAAGGGGUUGGGGGCCAGAGAAAAAAUGGAGCCCUUGAUCCCAUUCAGCCUCAUUUAGGUGGAACACCAAAAGUUUCAAAAGAAAAGCAUCAGGAUGCUUGCUACCUUGUGAAUUACAAUCUUUUAAGCUAGGAAGACACUUCUUUUGGAAUAACAUUUGUAAAGUAUUGGUAAAUAUGUAGAAAAAGGUUUUAAGUAGUAGGAAAAUGUAAAAAUGGUUUUAAAUUGGUGAGUAAUGACAGUGAAAUGUCCUAAUUCCAAAUGUAAUAUGAUUCUACCUCAGGAAGCUGACCUCCUAUCUCCCGCUUUCUUUAGUGAUAUCGGUCUCUUCCUCCUUAACUCUUGAUUAUUUUUGUUAGGAAAUCACUUUAAAUAUAGCAUUUCUUUGCAAAUGUUCUUCUUCAA